AGUGAACGCUGGCGGUAGGCCUAACACAUGCAAGUCGAACGGCAGCACAGGAGAGCUUGCUCUCUGGGUGGCGAGUGGCGGACGGGUGAGGAAUACAUCGGAAUCUACUCUGUCGUGGGGGAUAACGUAGGGAAACUUACGCUAAUAACGCAUACGACCUACGGGUGAAAGCAGGGGAUCUUCGGACCUUGCGCGAUUGAAUGAGCCGAUGUGGGAUUAGCUAGUUGGCGGGGUAAAGGCCAACCAAGGCAACGAUCCGUAGCUGGUCUGAGAGGAUGAUCAGCCACACUGGAACUGAGACACGGUCCAGACUCCUACGGGAGGCAGCAGUGGGGAAUAUUGGACAAUGGGCGCAAGCCUGAUCCAGCCAUACCGCGUGGGUGAAGAAGGCCUUCGGGUUGUAAAGCCCUUUUGUUGGGAAAGAAAUCCAGCUGGCUAAUACCCGGUUGGGAUGACGGUACCCAAAGAAUAAGCACCGGCUAACUUCGUGCCAGCCGCCGCCGUAA
rnacentral:rRNA from 1 species